CAUGUAGUUUAUCAUCUUUGUUAUAUGCUAUAUGCUUCUUUAUUAGAAUGUGCAUGAGACUAGUCCAAGCCCUCAUAAAAAUUAUAUUAAGUUAGUAGUAAUAACAACAAUUAAGCUUGCCGAUUCUUGAAACGAUUAAUCUUUUGAUGUUUAGGAGUGUUUCAAGUACGGUGGUUAUUUAAUUGGUUCCGUUCGCUGGUCUGACUAACUUUGUUGGUGUC
rnacentral:lncRNA from 1 species